ACGGCCGCUCUUCCAUCAUCUGAGAUCUUACUGCUCCAAUUCAAUAUGCAGUUUUCUGACCUGAUCGGAGGUCCAAUAACAGACCAGAUCGAGUGUCCAUGUAUGGGAAUGGAUCAUAGCAUGUUGACAUUUCAUAGGAGCGCAUCUAUCUUUCUAUCAGCAACUCGAUAGAUGGCCGUCAUUCACAGUUGAAGUUGUGUUAUACCUGGUGGUGGUUCAGAACUGUUAAAUGAACGCAUAUGGAAUGCCUAUGCUAGACCACAGGUGAAACACAUACAAAUAUAACUCUUCUGCCAGACAAUGAUCAAGGUGAGACGUUUGCUGAAGCCAGAAAACACACAAGUCUUUCAAAGAAUAUACUCGGUGCAUCUGUGACAUUAUCGAUCAACUUGUGGUUCUUUCUGUUGCCCCUCACGCACUUACAACAAGAUGCUGUCUAUCCUAGUUCAUUACUGGCAUGAACAAGUACCUGGAAGCUCAAAGUCGUAAAAUAUAUGUAGGAAUAAGGUUCAUGAUGACUUUGCUGAAAGUAGGUACAUAUGACACUCAUUAUUAACAUAGAGGUUUGGUGGGACUGUCGUUGCUGUUGGGGAGUCUGAAUGGAAAUAUAUAGAGAUUGUUGAAGAAGAAACCUUUAUCAAUUGUCGGUUUGAGUAGUGAGGACAUUGCACAAGACUCAACACAUAUAUGCAUACUUUGAGCGGGAAAUCUGAUACGAGAAGCGUUACGGAUUUGGUUUUGCUGUGAAGACUCAACUCAAUAUUUUGCGUACCUAUAUCAUCGGUUAAGGGGGAAUCUGUUUAAAGAUAAAAUCUUGAAGCGUGCAUCCAGAGUCUCUUUCUUCAACUGUGGCCUGAAAAAAAGGUUAACAAGCCCAGAAAGUCCGUUAGACCAUCAACAUCCAUUCCACCUAGCGGGCACAUUUUCGAACAUAUAGAAAAUGGCAACGAAGAUGUUGGUUCAGAUGUUCUAGAAUGUUCUAGAACAUUCGAACCCCAUCUUUCAUUCAAAGAAGUCAAAUCUUUUGAUGAUUUUCGUAUUCUGGUCAUGACUUCUCCCAUGAUGUCAGAAUGGGUUACUACAAACUAUGUUUAUACAAGAAACAAUUUCUUCAUCCUGAAGGUGUAUAUGACAGGUUACCGGGGAAUAUUAUUGGUGAACCCGUAGAGAUUUGUAAUGAGAUUAUGAAGUGCAAGCUCACCACAGCUAUAAAGAGUUUGAAAAAUGGGAUUAGUACCUGAAAUCUUUCCAAGGGUUUUGGCAUGAAUGUUGGGCUUUUACGCCAUAAGAUACACACACUUGCAAGACGUGUGUUUGAAUUAGAAUUUUGUUGCACAUAAACAGUAUAUGGAAGCAGCAAACGAACAUAAACAUGUAAAUGACGAGUCAAAGAAAUUAACACCCAUAUGUGUGGAGUUGAAGAAGAGUACUAAAAAAUGUGAGGAUAUUUUAGGCUCUUUCUGAAAGUUAUUAGCUUGUUUUCCUUUUAUGAUAAACUGUAAAACAUCUGAGUAAUGAACUACAUUUAGUGAAUCAGUAAUCCUUUUUUGGGUUUUUCAUUGUCAGUUGUAGUUCGGAUGCAGUGAUUGUGGUUUUGUGUUGUCUUCAUCAGUGGAUAUGGAGGCUUGUUCAAUUACUCGUAUCCUAUACCGAUGUUCCAAAGAACGGACCAAUAGUUGUUUAA